rnacentral:rRNA from 1 species
UACGGAGGAUCCAAGCGUCAUCCGGAAUCAUUGGGUUUAAAGGGUCCGUAGGCGGUUUAAUAAGUCAGUGGUGAAAGCCCAUCGCUCAACGGUGGAACGGCCAUUGAUACUGUUAAACUUGAAUUAUUAGGAAGUAACUAGAAUAUGUAGUGUAGCGGUGAAAUGCUUAGAGAUUACAUGGAAUACCAAUUGCGAAGGCAGGUUACUACUAAUGGAUUGACGCUGAUGGACGAAAGCGUGGGUAGCGAACAGG